CAAAAUGGCGGCGGCCGUUGGUGCGGGGUGUCGCUUGUAGUUCCGUUGCUCUACUCCUCCCGUUGCAAAAUGUGAAAGGAGAAGCGGCUGGUGGAGGGCGUCCUACGCAAUGAGUCGGCGAAGGAAAUAUGGGGACAGCCCUGGCUUGAAGAACACGCCGCGCAAAGCGGCGGCGACUGAGGAAUGCAGCUCGGUGGUCGAAACGGGGAAGAGGCGGCUGAGGUCGGCCCGCGGUUCAGGGCCCUGUGGCGCUGGAGAGAGGCCUCCCCGGCCCCUGCCGCAGCAACAGCAGCCUCCAGUAGCCGCUUCGUGCAGUAAAAGUAACCCCGAGGGUGAGACGUGGGCAGCGGGGCCUCCCUGGGCUUCGGCGCCGCAGCUUCAGAAGCCAGCUCGUGACCGGGAAACCCCGGGUGCAGAAAUGUAUGAAACACCAAAGAGAAUGCUGCAAAUGGAUUUAUUGUCAUCUACCUUCAGUUCUCCUAAUGAUCCAGAUGGACAGAAUGAUAUCUUUUGGGAUCAGAAUUCUCCAAUGACAAAACAGUUAGGUAAAGGAAGAAAAAAGCAGAUUUACACCACAGAUAGUGAUGAAAUCUCACAUAUUGUUAAGCGUAUUGCUCCUCAGGAUGAGAAACCAACAACAGACUCCAUGCUGGGCGUGUGGAUUGGUGCAACUGCUAUUCCUUGCACUCCUAGUGUAGCAAAAGGAAAAUCAAGAGCAAAACUCAGCUGUGCAAAGUUAAAAUCACAAAAUCAGGAGGAGGAACUUAUGAAAUUGGCUAAGCAAUUUGAUAAAAAUAUGGAAGAGCUAGAUGUGAUUCAAGAGCAAAACAAGAGAAAUCAUGAUCUUAUCCAGAUGAUUUCAGAAGCAGAGACUUUAAAUAAUUACAGAGAUAGUGUACAGACGCAGUUGCUACAUGAUAUAGUUCCUGAAAUCGAUAAUGCUAUGAUAAAGAAGCCAGUGAAAGAAAACAGGAUAUUUGUAGUAAAUGAUCAAAAUAGCAGUCAGAAGCCAUUUGACCAAAACGCUGAAGCAGCCUUUAUCGCCAUUUUUGAUGGUUCUACUCAGAAAUGUAGUGGACGGUUAAGCCAAGAUCUGUCAGAUGCUUUCUUGAACACCAGUAAUACUACCUUUGGAAAGAAAAACGCUUUGAAAGAGGAGAACAUCAUUACUAAUGAAACUCUGGUCACUGAAAAACUGCCAAAUAAAACCAAAGGAUCACUUUCUCGUCAAGUAGAUAAUCCUGGAAUGACAAAAUCACAUGUGACUGCCUGUACUAAGGAACCAGGAGCUUUUAAUAAGCACAUUGAUACAUUUACUACCAGUGACUUUGAGGAUGAUUGGGAAAACUUACUAAAUAAUGAACCUUUUGUUAUGCAAAAUAUUGAAAUGUCUGAACUUUUCGCUGCCCCUGAAACAGCCCAGAUUACUGAUCAAAAGGAAAUUUGUACCUUUAACAGUAAAAAUGGUAAAAGUAAGUCAGGAAUGAAUACAAGUCUAGAUACCAGGUUAAGAGAUUCAAAAAUUUUACAAGAUCUUCCUUCAAAGACAUGGAACAGUGAAUUAACGGAUGCUGCAAAAUACAGAUUUUCACCACAGCCGAAUGAUAAACCAAAUAAAUUAUCAUCCACUGGAAAUAAAAUGAAAUUGGAGAAAUCUUUUAAUACAAUUGUUGUUCAAGACAAAAUUCAAGACUGUGCAGUUGCAUCUAAUCUGGCAAAAGUAAAUGAAGAUACCCAUAUUAAAUUUACUUCUAAUGUAAAUGCUUCUGAAAAAAAGUCUACUUUGAACCCAGGAUGUUCUAAUGAACAAAAAAAUAAGUCCAUUUUUAAUCAGUCUUUGAAGGCACCUACUAAUGUUGAGCCUUUAGGCUCUGCAACUUUGGGCAAUAAAACUAGUGUUUGUAACCCAAAUCAGACUAAUGCAUCAAAGCUUAGUUCUUUCUUUGAUGAUUGGAAUGAUACAUCAUUUACCAAUGAAAUUGUUAAAGCCUGUCAUCACUUAGAGAAUACCUGGGAAGCAGAUGAUGUAGAUGAUGAUUUAUUAUACCAAGCAUGUGAUGAUAUUGAAAGACUAACUCAGGAACAAGACAUUAGAGUGGACAGCAAGACAUCAGAAAGUGUACUUGGGAUCAAUAAUAGUUCUAAACAUGGAGCCAAAAAUGUGUUUACUACACCUAAACAAGGAAGUCAGUUGGUGCAAUCAAAGCAUUUGAAUCUGAACAGCGAUUCAGUGCAAACAUCUUCAUUGACAGAUAGCUUACAAAUAAAUAAAUCAAUGAAGAUGGAGAAAAGGGAAAUUUGUGGAAAUUCUCCCGGGUUUUUAGGUGCCACGACAAAUUUGACUAUAUAUUCUAAGAACUCAAAUUGUCAGAUCAAUAAUCUGCAUGUCUCUUGGAAUAACACUGAUGUUCCAAAACAAGUGAAUAGUUCCAAAUCGGUUCUUACAGGAAGUUCAAGUUUGAAUGUGAGUUCAGAUCAUAUGAGUACAGAAAUUGCUGCUAAUAAGAAGAAAUUGAGUACUCCACAUCUAUCGCAUAGCACCGUAACAGAUGAAGCUCAGAGUGACCUUAACAGAACAGUGAGAUUUUCUAAGUACACGUUUAUAAAGAUGAAAAAUUCUCAAAUUCUUUCUCAGUUUAAUAACAAUUGUAUAACAGGAAGUAUUUCUGGUACCAAAAUCACACAGGGUUUGCAGAAAAAUAAAACUGUCAACCCAUUAUGUGGGAAGGCUGUUCAACAGCAGUCUUUGGUGAAAUUUUCUGAAUCUUUGAAACAAACUUCAAAAGAGGAAGAAGAGAAAAAUAGAAAGUAUUCUCCUGAAGAAAUUCAGAGAAAAAGACAAGAAGCACUGGUUCGAAGAAUGGCCAAAGCACAGGCAUCAUCUGUAAAGAAAGACAGCUCCCACUUAACUUGAUUUCUUUAAUGAAAUGUUACUUCGGAGGUAACAAAGACAGUUGAUAACUAUCUAUGAUAGGAAAUAUUUUUUCUUGAUUUCUCUAUGAGAAAUUUAAUGCUGAGUUAUAAAGCAUGGACUUCUACUUUAUUUAAUAAAUCAGUGUUUACAAUGGUCAAUGAAACCUUUCCUUGGAGAUGUAUGUGAAAGUAAUUGCAUGUAAGUUUUGGAAAUUCAGGAAAGUUAGCAAUUAUAUAGUAGAAUCAUACAGAGGAAACUAGUUUUAUUUUUAAAUACUGUGAUUGCAGAGGAUCAUCAAAAAAUAGAUAAUCCACUUAAUUUUUAUUGUAAUAAGUCUUUUCCUAAUACAAAGCUUCAACUUACUAAUAGAGACUAUUUCUUCAUAGCUUUAUUUUCAAUAACUGUUCCUUAAGGUUUUUAUACGUUUCUGAAUUUUAAUUAAUACUUCCAUAUUCUUAGGAACAUGUUUGGUAGGAAAUAAAGGACUUCAUAAGAAAAUUACUAUUUUCAAUUCCUAGUUUGUAAUAGAUGUGAAUUUAAAAUUUUCUAAAAUGUAGUACCUUUUGGAAACUUCCCACCAUUUUUAGGGAAAAUGCUGAUUUAAGAAGUUUAGUUUUGAAAGAAGAAUGUGGAUUAGCUAUAUAAGUAGUGUACCAUCAGUAACAUUUAGAACUGUCGGAAACUUUAGAUAUCAUCUGGUCCAGCUUCUUCACUGUAUAGGUGAGAAAUGAAUACUGUUAUUCCAAAAGUCAGAAGGCAAGUUGGAGCUGUGCUAGGAUUAGAAUGAUGUCUUUCAUUCUAGUGGAUACCUAGGCAAAUGGUACCAUUUGCUUCAGAGUAUUAAUUAGUACCUAAAAUAACUUGUUUGUGGGCGCAUUAAUUAUUUUAUAGUAUAAAACUUAAAAAAAGUAACUAAAAUACAUUAAGCGACUGAUAAUAAUGCUUAUUGUUUCUUGUAUUAAAGAAUUAACCAUUCCAGGAUAUAAAAAAUGAGAAUCUUUUUUCAGUUUUCCUAUAACUAUGUAAUUUUCCCUUGAUUAAUUUACUGACUUUGCUAAUUUCUUCUUCUCUGUUACUCUCUUUUUAAUUUUUGCUUGUUUGGAAUUUGCGAAGCCAGAAGUAAAAAUCUUAGCUGAGGGCAUAAGGACGAUUCUCAGAAUUUAUUCAUAACUGAAAGUAUGUACCUUUUGACCAACAUCGGUGGGUUGAUUUUAAUUGACACCUAGGACAACAAGUUGUUCUAACUGAGAAUUCCCACGGCAAGGACAGUGAGCUAGCAUUUGUUCGGAAAGGCCUCACUCUGGCUGUUCAUCUAUAUUAUCUCUGAUCUACACUUGAGGCUUUGCUAAUUUGUAUAAUGAACAUUUAAAAUGUCUUUUCAGUUGCAAAAUUAGUGCUUGUUAUUAGCUUGUGAAUGUUAAAAGUGGGCUUUCAAUGGUCAGAUUACUGGGGUUCAGGAUAUAUACACCAACUGAACUAUUUAGGGAAAUCCCUGCACUGGCAUGGAUUAAACUGCAGCCAGCCUAUCCUGAGGGAUGGCUCAGACAGACAUGUAUUUACACCUCUGUGUCAUAGAGUAAGUACAUAUCCUUAAUGUCAUUAGAUAAUGCCAAGCUGUUUCCUAUAAAUGUGCACCUUUUACAGUUCCAUCACACUUUAAACUGCUUGACAAUCUGUUGGCUGUGUACUAACAUCUUAUUGUGGUUUUAAUUGGCAAUUUCCCUACUACUAGUAAAAUAGAGCCCUUUUUCAUAUGUUUAUAUACCAUCUGAAUUUGCUCAAUUAUGAGUUGCUUGUAUAGACACUUUUCUGUUGGGUUGCCCGUUUUUGUUUUUUGUUUUUUGUUUUUUUCACACACACACACUGUAUUUUUACAAGAAAUAAAUAAACUGACACCAAGCAUUGUAAAUGGAUGACCACAACAAAAGCACCAAUGAUUGCAAUUACCAAACACUAAACACACUCAUACUAUGUCAUAAUAUUGACAUUCAGUCCAGUAAUCCACCACUGUAACAGCUCCUUUACUUUGCAGUGAAAAUUGAUUUGUAUAUUUUUUGCCUCUGAGUCCUUGUGGAAUUUUUUAUUUUUAUUAUUUUUUUAUUCAAACAGAAAGUCACAAAAAUUAUAAUCAUCCUCAUCAGGUCACUCAGUCCCAUGUGAUUAAUUUUUUUUCAUCUUGAUCUUUUGUUAGCACUUUUAUGAAUUCAUCAGUUUUCCAUUAGAGUUCUGAAAAUGCUUAUUCAUUCAGUUCAGCAGUAUAGUCAGUUACCAGAAACCUGUACUUGUCAGAGUCUUUUCCAUGAAUUCCUUGAAGAUGAAACCCUUUUAUAGGAACAUUUUUGCAAAAGCAUCAGAGUACACCCAGAACUGUCUGUAAAUGACAAAAGACUUAAAAACGACCACGGCUAAAGGUUUGAUGCAAGUUCAUAAUAAUGCAAUUGACAAGGAAAUAUAGUUAUUUCUGGGAUAUACAUUUUAAAGUAAUAACUAGAAUUAUGACUUAUAACAUUAUACCAGAACAUAUAAGAUUUUUAGAAAUUUCAUGUAAUGUCUGAAACAUUUAUAUUAACAUAUUUCCAUACAAAUAACCCAAAGAAAGUUUAGUAUUAGUUGUUUCUUUUGUUUGUUUGUGUUUUUUAUACUGCAGGUUCUUAUUAGUCAUCAAUUUUAUACACAUCAGUGUAUACAUGUCAAUCCCAAUCGCCCAAUUCAGCACACUACCAUCCCCACCCCACCGCAGUUUUCCCCCCUUGGUGGCCAUACAUUUGUUCUCUACAUCUGUGUCUCAACUUCUGCCCUGCAAACCGGUUCAUCUGUACCAUUUUUCUAGGUUCCACAUACAUGCGUUAAUAUACGAUAUUUGUUUUUCUCUUUCUGACUUAAUUCACUCUGUAUGACAGUCUCUAGAUCCAUCCACAUCUCAACGAAUGACUCAGUUUCGUUCCUUUUUAUGGCUGAGUAAUAUUCCAUUGUAUAUAUGUACCACAUCUUCUUUAUCCAUUCAUCUGUCGAUGGGCAUUUAGGUUGCUUCCAUGACCUGGCUAUUGUAAAUAGUGCUGCAGUGAACAUCGGGGUGCAUGUGUCUUUUUUUUUAAAGAUUUAUUGAUUUAUCGAUUGAUUGAUUGCUAUGUUGGGUCUUCGUUUCUGUGCUAGGGCUUUCUCUAGUUGCGGCAAGCGGGGGCCACUCUUCAUCGCGGUGCGCGGGCCUCUCACUAUCGCGGCCUCUCUUGUUGCGGAGCACAGGCUCCAGACGCGCAGGCUCAGUAGUUGUGGCUCACGGGCCUAGUUGCUCUGCGGCAUGUGGGAUCUUCCCAGACCAGGGCGCGAACCCGUGUCCCCUGCAUUAGCAGGCAGAUUCUCAACCACUGGGCCACCAGGGAAGCCCCACAUGUGUCUUUUUGAAUUAUGGUUUUCUCUGGGUAUAUGCCCAGCAGUGGGAUUGCUGGAUCAUAUGGUAAUUCUAUUUUUAGUUUUUUAAGGAACCUCUGUACUGUUCUCCAUAGUGGCUGUAUCAGUUUACAUUCCCACCAACAGUGCAAGAGGGUUCCCUUUUCUCCACACCCUCUCCAGCAAUUUGUUGUUUGUAGAUUUUCUGAUGAUGCCCAUUCUAACUGGUGUGAGGUGAUACCUCAUUGUAGUUUUGAUUUACAUUUCUCUAAUAAUUAGUGAUGUUGAGCAGCUUUUCAUGUGCUUCUUGGCCAUCUGUAUGUCUUCUUUGGAGAAAUGUCUAUUUAGGUCUUCUGCCCAUUUUUGGAUUGGGUUGUUUGUUUCUUUAAUAUUGAGCUGCAUGAGCUGUUUAUAUAUUUUGGAGAUUAAUCCUUUGUCUGUUGCUUUGUUUGCAAAUAUUUUCUCCCAUUCUGAGGGUUGUCUUUUCGUCUUGUUUAUGGUUUCUUUUGCUGUGGAAAAGCUUUGAAGUUUCAUUAGGUCCCAUUUGUUUAUUUUUGUUUUUGUUUCCAUUACUCUAGGAGGUGGAUCAAAAGAGAUAUUGCUGUGACUUAUGUCAAAGAGUGUUCUUCCUAUGUUUUCCUCUAAGAGUUUUAUAGUGUCCAGUCUGAUAUUUAGCUCUCGAAUCCAUUUUGAGUUUAUUUUGGUGUAUGGUGUUAGGGAGUGUUCUAAUUUCAUUCUUUUACGUGGCGCUGUCCAGUUUUCCCAGCACCACUUAUUGAGGAGACAGUCUUUUCUCCAUUGUAUAUCUUUGCCUCCUUUGUCAUAGAUUAGUUGACCAUAGGUGCCUGGGUUUAUCUCUGGGCUUUCUAUCUUGUUCCAUUGAUCUAUGUUUCUGUUUUUGUGCCAGUACCAUAUUGUCUUGAUUACUGUAGCUUUGUAGUAUAGUGUAAAGUCAGGGAGUCUGAUUCCUCCAGCUCCGUUUUUUUCCCUCAAGACUGCUCUUGCUAUUCGGGGUCUUUUGUGUCUCCAUACAAAUUUUAAGAUGAUUUGUGAUAGUUCUGUAAAAAAUGCCAUUGGUAAUUUGAUAGGGAUUGCAUUGAAUCUGUAGAUUGCUUUGGGUAGUAUGGUCAUUUUCACAAUAUUGAUUCUUCCAAUCUAAGAACCUGGUAUAUCUCUCCAUCUGUUAGUAUCAUCUUUAAUUUCUUUCAUCAGUGUCUUAUAGUUUUCUGCAUACAGGUCUUUUGUCUCCCUAGGUAGGUUUAUUCCUUGGUAUUUUAUUCUUUUUGUUGCAGUGGUAAAUGGGAGUGUUUCCAUAAUUUCUCUUUCAGAUUUUUCAUCAUUAGUGUAUAGGAAUGCAAGAAAUUUCUGUGCAUUAAUUUUGUAUCCUGCAACUUAACCAAAUUCAUUGAUUAGCUCUAGUAGUUUUCUGGUGGCAUUUUUAGGAUUCUCGAUGUAUAGUAUCAUGUCAUCUGCAAACAGUGACAGCUUUACUUCUUCUUUUCUGAUUUGUAUUCCUUUUAUUUCUUUUUCUUCUCUGAUUGCCAUGGCUAGGACUUCCAAAACUAUGUUGAAUAAUAGUGGUGAGAGUGGACAUCCUUGUCUCGUUCCUAAUCUUAGAGGAAAUGCUUUCAGUUUUUCACCAUUGAGAAUGAUGUUUGCUGUGGGUUUGUCGUAUAUGGCCUUUAUUAUGUUGAGGUAGGUUCCCUCUAUGCCCACUUUCUGGAGAGUUUUUAUCAUAAAUGGGUGUUGAAUUUUGUCAAAGGAGUUUUCUGCAUCUAUUGAGAAUGAUCAUAUGGUUUCUCUUCUUCAGUUUGUUAAUAUGGUGUAUCACAUUGAUUGAUUUGCGUAUAUUGAAGAAUCCUUGCAUCCCUGGGAUAAAUCCCACUUGAUCAUGGUGUAUGAUCCUUUUAAUGUGUUGUUGGGUUCUGUUUGUUACUAUUUUGUUGAGGAUUUUUGCAUCUAUUUUCAUCAGUGAUAUUGGUCUGUAAUUUUCUUUUUUUGUAGUAUCUUUGUCUGGUUUUGGUAUCAGGGUGAUGGUGGCCACAUAGAAUGAGUUUGGGAGUGUUCCUUCCUCUGCAAUUUUUUGGAAGAGUUUGAGAAGGAUAGGUUUUAGCUCUUCUCUAAAUGUUUGGUAGAAUUCACCUGUGAAGCCAUCUGGUCCUGGACUUCUGUUUGUUGGAAGAUUUUUAAUCACAAUUUCUUUUUUAUACUUUAUUUAUUUAUUUUAUUUAUUUAUUUAUGACUGUGUUGGGUCUCUUAGUUUUCGUGUGAGGGCUUUCUCUAGUUGCGGCAAGUGGGGGCCACUCUUCAUCGCGGUGCGGGGGCCGCUCUUCAUCGCGGUGCGCGGGCCUUUCACUAUCGCGGCCCCUCCCGUUGCGGGGCACAGGCUCCAGACGCGCAGGCUCAGUAGUUGUGGCUCACAGGCCCAGUUGCUCCGCGGCAUGUGGGAUCUUCCCAGACCAGGGCUCGAACCCGCGUCCCCUGCAUUGGCAGGCAGAUUCUCAGCCACUGCGCCACCAGGGAAGCCCAAUCACAAUUUCAAUUUCAUUACUUGUGAUUGGUCUGUUCAUAUUUUCCGUUUCUUCCUGGUUCCAUCUUGGAAGGUUAUACCUUUCUAAGAAUUUGUCCAUUUCCUCCAGGUUGUCCAUUUUGUUGGCAUAGAGUUGCUUGUAGUAGUCUCCUAGGAUGCUUUGUAUUUCUGUGGUGUCUGUUGUAACUUCUCCUUUUUCAUUUUAAUUUUAUUGAUUUGAGUCCUCUCCCUCUUUUUCUUGAUGAGUCCUGCUAAUGGUUUAUCAAUUUUGUUUAUCUUCUCAAAGAACCAGCUUUUAGUUUUACUGAUCUUUGCUAUUGUUUUCUUUGUUUCCAUUUCAUUUAUUUCUGCUCUGAUCUUUAUGGUUUCUUUCCUUCUGCUAACUUUGGGUUUUGUUUGUUCUUCUUUCUCUAGUUCCUUUAGGUGUAAGGUUAGAUUGUUUACUUGAGAUUUUUCUUGUUUCUUGAGGUAGGCUUGUAUAGUUAUAAACUUCCCUCUUAGAACUGCUUUUGCUAUAUCCCAUAGGUUGUGGAUUGUCAUGUUUUCAUUGUCAUUUGUCUAGGUAUUUUUUGAUUUCCUCUUUGAUUUCUUCAGUGAUCUCUUGGUUGUUUAGUAACGUAUUGUUUAGCUUCCAUGUGUUUGUGUUUUUUACGUUUUUUCCCCUGUAAUUCAUUUUUAAUCUCAUAGCGUUGUGGUCAGAAAAGAUGCUUGAUAUGAUUUCAAUUUUCUUAAAUUUACUGAGGCUUGAUUUGUGACCCAAGAUGUGAUCCAUCCUGGAGAAUGUUCCGUACGCACUUGAGAAGAAAGUGUAAUCUGCUGUUUUUGGAUGGAAUGUCCUGUAGAUAUCAAUUAAAUCUAUCUGGUCUAUUGUGUCAUUUAGAGCUUCUGUUUCCUUAUUUAUUUUCAUUUUGGAUGAUCUGUCCAUUGGUGUAAGUGAGGUGUUAAAGUCCCCCACUAUUACUGUGUUACUGUCGAUUUCCUCUUUAUAGCUGUUAGCAGUUGCCUUAUGUAUUGAGGUGCUCCUAUGUUGGGUGCAUAUGUAUUUAAAAUUGUUAUACCUUCUUCUUGGAUUGAUCCCCUGAUCAUUAUGUAGUGUCCUUCCUUGUCUCUUGUAACAUUCUUUAUUUUAAAGUCUAUUUUAUCUGAUAUGAGUAUAGCUACUCCAGCUUUCUUUUGAUUUCCAUUUGCAUGGAAUAUCUUUUUCCAUCCCCUCACUUUCAGUCUGUAUGUGUCCCUAGGUCUGAAGUGGGUCUCUUGCAGACAGCAUAUAUAUUGGUCUUGUUUUUGUAUCCAUUCAGCAAGCCUGUGUCUUUUCAUUGGCGCAUUUAAUCCAUUCACGUUUAAGGUAAUUAUCGAUAUGUAUGUUCUUAUGACCAUUUUCUUAAUUGUUUUGUGUUUGUUGUUGUAGAUCCUUUUCUUCUCUUGUGUUUCCCACUUAGAGAAGUUCCUUUAGCAUUUGUUAUGGAGGUGGUUUGGUGGUGCUGAUUACUCUUAGCUUUUGCUUGUCUGUAAAGCUUUUGAUUUCUCCAUCGAAUCUGAACAAGAUCCUUGCCAGGUAAUCUUGGUUGUAGGUUCUUCCCUUUCAUCACUUUAAGUAUAUCAUGCCACUCCCUUCUGGCUUGUAGAGUUUCUGCUGAGAAAUCAGCUGUUAACCUUAUGGGAGUUCACUUGUAUGUUAUUAUUCGUUUUUCCCUUGUUGCUUUCAGUAAUUUUUCUUUGUCUUUAAUUUUUGCCAAUUUGAUUACUAUGUGUCUCGGCGUGUUUCUCCUUGGAUCUAUCCUGUAUGGGACUCGCUGCGCUUACUGGACUUGGGUGGCUAUUUCCUUUCCCAUGUUAGGGAAGUUUUCGACUAUAAUCUCUUCAAAUAUUUUCUCUGCUCCUUUCUCUCUCCCUUCUCCUUCUGGUACCCCUAUAAUGCGAAUGUUGUUGUGUUCAUUGUUGUCCCAGAGGUCUCUUAGGCUGUCUUCAUUUCUUUUCAUUCUUUUUCUUUUUAUUCUGUUCCGCAGCAGUGAAUUCCACCAUUCUGUCUUCCAGGUCACUUGUCUGUUCUUCUGCCUCAGUUAUUCUGCUGUUGAUUCCUUCUAGUGUAGUUUUCAUUUCAGUUAUAUUGUUCAUCUAUGUUUGUUCUUUAAUUCUUCUAGGUCUUUGUUAAACAUUUCUUGCAUCUUCUCUAUCUUUGCCUCUAUUCUUUUUCCGAGGUCUUGGAUCAUCUUCACUAUCAUUAUUCUGAAUUCUUUUUCUGGAAGGUUGCCUAUCUCCACUUCAUUUAGUUGUUUUUCUGGGGUUUUAUCUUGUUCCUUCAUCUGGUACAUAGCGCUCUGCUUUUUCAUCUUGUCUAUCUUUCUGUGAAUGUGGUUUUUGUUCCACAGGCUGCAGGAUCGUAAUUCUUCUUGCUUCUGCUGUCUGCCCUCUGGUGGAUGAGGCUAUCUAAGAGGCUUAUGCAAGUUUCCUGAUGGGAGGGACUGGUGGCGGGUAGAGCUGACUGUUGAGCUGGUGGGCGGAGCUCAGUAAAACUUUAAUCCACUUGACUGCUGAUGGGUGGGGCUGGGUUCCCUCCCUGUUGGUUGUUUUGCCUGAGGCAAUCCAACACUGGAGCCUACCUGGGCUCUUUGGUGGGGCUAAUGACAGACUCUGGGAGGGCUCAUGCCAAGGAGUACUUCCCAGAACUUCUGCUGUCAGUGUCCUUCUCCCCACGGUGAGCCACAGCCACCCCCCGCCUCCACAGGAGACCCUCCAACACUAGCAGGUAGGUCUGGUUCCGUUUCCCCUGGGGUCACUGCUCCUUCCCCUUGGUUCCGAUGUGCACACUACUUUGCGUGUGCCCUCCAAGAGUGGAGUCUCUUUUUCCCCCAGUCCUGUCAAAGUCCUGCACUCAAUUCCCCCUAGGCUUCAAAGUCUGAUUCUCUAGGAAUUCCUUUUCCUGUUGCCGGACCCCCAGGUUGGGAAGCCUGACAUGGGUCUCAGAACCUUCACUGCAGUGGGUGGACUUCUGUGGUAUAAGUGCUCGCCAGUCUGUGAGUCACCCACCCAACAGUUAUGGGAUUUGAUUUUACUGUGAUUGAGCCCCUCCUAUCGUCUCAUUGUGGCUUCUCCUUUGUCUUUGGAUGUGGGGUAUCUUUUUUGGUGAGUUCCAGUGUCUUCCUGUUGAUAAUUGUGCAGCAGCUAGUUGUGAUUCUGGUGUUCUCGCAAGAGGGAGUGACAGCACAUCCUUCUACUCCACCAUCUUGUUUCCUCGGGUUGCCCGUCUGAUUCCUCUUUUUUAGCUCUUGUUGGAAACAGUAGGGGUUGAGUAGCCCAUUAAUGAACACAGAGGACUGCUUAGAUAGUGUGUCUAGCUUGGCUUUUUCCAAUCUCUAGGGAAUCUGUUUUCAAACAGGAAGGGACAGCAGCUGGUAGGUCUGGCAGUUCUAUUCCUUCUCAAGCUCUGCUGCUGUUCAUGCAUCUAAAGGUUGGCUGCAGAUAAACUGAUGAUAAUAAUGCCAUUAUUGCAGGAAAGCCUACAGAAUAGAGCCUAUCAUUACUCUUUCUUGCUGCAAACAGUCAAUUCUGAUCCCAGGAAAACUUGGAUUGCUUAUUACAGACAGUGGUAUGCAUGCAUGUACCACGCCUUGUGAAACACUGCUUAUAUCAUUAUACUGUGUUAUCACUAAUUUUUAAGUUCCUGAGAACAGAGGCUUACUCAUCUCUGUCUAGCCUUACUUCAGUGGUUACUUAUUAAAUGUCAGAUGAAUUUAAAUAGAUUCUGGUGGCAGAGAGUCUGCCUUGCCUGACUUGAAGCAUUUUGAGUCUGAUUCCCUGAACUUUAGAGUUGGAAAAUAUUUCUAGAAACAAUUUAACACUGAUUCUUAUAAGUGAUAAUUUAUGUAGAAUAUGAGCAUGGUUUUCAUUUUUUGCUGGGGUGUAGUGAUCAGAAUCACUUGUGGGACUCAAGAACAAAACAACAAACUUAUGUCUUUAUGCUUUCCCUUAGACUUCAUAAAUGAGUACAUUAGGGGUAGAUUUCUGUGUGUAUAUUUUUAAAGUCCAUUGGCUAAAGCCAACAGGGUUGAGAAGAAAUUAUAAUUACUAAACUUACAUAACAGUUGCUAAAUGUUUUAUUUACCAUGCAUAGUUUUAAGAAAUUCACAUUUAACUAAAGACCAUGUAAAUAACACUUUUACCACCAUUUGACAAAUAGAGAAACUGAAGUAAGCACAUUAAGUGACUUUCUCAAGGUCACACAAUUAGAAAGAUGUUGGAGCUGGAGUUUGCAUUCAAGCAAUGUUAUUCCAAAUAUUAUCUUAACCACUGUCAUUCAUGGAAACUAUUCAUAAAAACCAGUGGUUUGUGGAAAUUAUCUGUAUGCACAGAAAGAAUUGUAGCAUUUCAAGCAUGUGUGCCAAAAAACUCACUAGAAUUCUAUAGCUUAAUUUUAUAGCACAGGAGAAUUUUCUUCCAAUCUCGAUUGCUAUUACAGAUGACUCCGGUACUUUAUGUGUAUGCGAGCGGGUGGGUUGGUAUUGAUUAUAUGAAUACACAGAGGUCACUUUUUUUUUUCCACGCAACUAUUAAACAAAAGAAUAGAGAAAUUCAUAAAAUGUAUAGCUAUUUUAAAUGUCUUCAUUUUACUUCACUAUUUUAGUAACUUCUGGGUGUUCUGGCUUUAAAUCUACUGGGGAAAACUUAAUUGCCAAGAUGUAAUGGCAUACUCCAAGCUUCUAGUAAAACUCUGAUCCAGGUAGUAAAAUUAAGGUUUCUGGUUAGGUACACACUAUAUAGAAUAGUGGUAUUCUGCAUUUAAUUUGUUAUAAUACGUUGUUAUGGUUGAAGUAUAUGAACAAAGUCCCAUAUCACACAAAUAUGUAGUUGGGCAAAGAAGCACUGAAAUAAUCUUUUCAUGUCAUUGUAGAUACUGUCUUUUGAUAUUACACAAAAACUUGAGAAGUGGUAGUUUCUUAAAAGUUAGGUAUAAUUUCUGUUUCUAGCCAUGAUGGAGAACAAGGCCUGCAUGUUCCUUCCUGCUGAAACAACCAAAUAAAAAACAGAGAAACUACAUGGAAAAGUGAACUUCAAGACACUAGGCCUCAGACAGUGAGGAAAAUUGGCAAACAAACAAAUGGAGCCUUACAAUUUUCCCAGCUUACUGACUUGAGGGAACUUCCAGGUCAUGAGGCAAGGAAGCAGAAUGGAGGAAGAGCCAAGUAGACUCCUUGAGUUGAGGAAAUGGAGCUAAGAGUCUAGGAAGACCAAGAUAGCUAGAGUUCACAGGGCAGAGAACCAGUGAGGAGAGAACACAGAUCUCCAGAUAUCUGUAGAUGGUCCCUUUGAGAAUUAAAUGCAGUCCAGAUCAGCAUGUGUAUGUGAGGAAGCAGGCUGGAGAAAGAGCCAUCUGAAAGGGUUAGAGGGCUCAUGUCAGUCUAGUAACAAAGCCCAUUCUUAGCAGCCACUGUUUACUGGGUAGUACUUGCCUCAGUAGUAGGGAAUAAUUAGCCCUAGACUGCACUGCUCUGGCUCCACCCCAACAAAUCAUAAAACUAAGAUUCAAAAGGAUCAAACUAUUCUCAAGUAACAACUGUGUCCCAGAACAAAGUUCAAAAGUAUUUAUAGCAGUACUUUUAUAGAAAUACAAAAAUGCCCAACAUCUAUGAGAUAAAAUUCACAAUGGCUAUCAUCUAUUAAAGAUCAGUAGGCAUGCAAAGAAGCAAGAAAACACAACCCAUAAGAAGGAGAAUAAUCAAUUGAAACUAGCCUAGGUCUUAUACAGAUGUUAGAAUUAGCAGGUAAGGAUAUUAAAAAGUUAAAAUUGUUAUGUACAAAAAGUUUAGAAAUUUUGGAGGGUAUUAAAAAGACCGAAAUCAAACUUCUAGAGUUGAAAACUAUAAUUUCCGAGGUGAAAAAUACACUAGAUGGGAUGAAUGGCAAAUUAGACAUUGCAGAAGAAAAGAUUAGUGAACUUGACAUAUCAAUAGGAACUAUCCAAAAUGAAAUGGAAGAAAAAAAAAACAUGAGUGAAUUGUGGAACAACUUCAAGUAGCCUGGUAUAUGGUUGAUUAAAGUCCCUGCAGGAGGGAGGGGUGGAGAGUAUAAAAAAUAUUUGAGUAAAUCAUGCCCUAAAAAAUUUCAAACCUUUUGAAAACUAUUAACCCACAAAUCUAAGAAUUCAGUGAACCCCAAGCACAAGAAAUAUGAAGAAAACUAUACCAAACUACAUAACCAGUGUAAAAUCAUAAAAGCAGCUAAAGGAAGAAAAAGAGCAGAGGACCAAAGAUGAGUAUAACAUCAGAAUUCUCAUCAGAAACAAUCUGAGAACAAUGGAGAAACACGUUUAAAGUACUAACAUUUUUUUAAAGUGAAUAUAGAAUUAUAUAACUAGCAAAAUGUCUUUCAAAAGCAAAGAUGAGACUAAGUUUUCAGACAUAAAAAGCCUGAAAGAAUGCAUCACUGCAUUCACUACAAGAAAUACUGAAGUCUUUCAGGCAGACAAAAUUAUAUUAGAUGAAAAUGUGGAUUUACAUGAAGGAAUGAUGAACACUGGAAGUGAUAAACACAUGGGUUAAUAUAUAAGAAUUUUUAAAAUUUAUUUAAAUCUCUUUAAAAGAUAAUUACUUAAAAAUAACAGUGUUGAGGGUUUUUUAAUGUGUAAAAAUUAAAAUAUGACAAUAGUAUAAAGGCCAGGAGAAAAAAGAAAGAUUAGGCAGCCCUAGUUUUGCACAUUUUUGACAUAUAUGGGGUUCAGUUAGAUGACACCAAUUCCCUAACAACACAGUUCAAAUUUUUGUGAACACAGUAUAUUUGCUGUGAAUACUUUCAUAAAAGUCCAAACUUCACAGUUAGCUUAGUCCACAUAUCACUACUUAAAUAGCAGAUGUGGAUCAUGAUGCGUGACCUAUCUUUCAAAGUAUGUUAGUGAUUUGUCACCACACACGGGAUUCGGUUCAUAUGCGAUCAGCAAUGCUUGUAGUUUUGCCUCCUUGUGUCCUAGUGAUAGCCCAUGUGACAUUUUACAAAAAUGGGUAAUUGAAAGAAAUUAACCAACAAAGAUGAAAAUGCAGCAAAUAAAAAAUAAUAUUGGAAGUGAAAUUCAAAUCAAAUGUAAAUUGAGUUAUAGAAUAAAUAUGUGUUCAUGGGAAUGUUGGCACUACCACCUUUCAGGAGUUCCUAAAUAUGCAGCCAGAAACACAGAAUGAAGGCAAGCUUAACAUAAAUUAAGAGAAAUUAACAUGAUUAAAAGAAUGAAGAUGUCCCUGAGGAAGUGAUGCUGGCCAAAAAACAAAAAAAAAACCAACUUUGUAUUAUGGGAACUCUCAGGGCCAUCUUAUAACAUUAAAAGUACAAAGUUUAAAACGUCAGAAGUUAAUCAUUCAAAUUUAGAAGCAGUAAGAUAAUUCACCAAGACAUAGAAAAGAUCCUCAUAAGCUAUGCGAGAGGAAGAAAACAAACACAUUUUCUAUGCUUUUAAUUAUAGUGUACUAAAAACAAUUUUUUUCUAUUUUUAAAAUUUUCGUAGAUGUUUACAACUAACACUGAGAUCUUUUAGUUUUUUAAUAAACAUUUUUGAAGGUCAUGAGACAAUUGUAAAUUUUCCCAUUGAUUAUUAAGAUUGCUUUCCAUGGGUUUCAACAUUCACAGUCAUUGUUAUGGUCCUGCAUUAUGUGCAAAGCAUCAACUGCCUAUAUACUGUGGUAUAGUUCUUAUACCGUACGUGAAGUGGUAUAGUAUCACAUGAAGGUAAACUGUGAUAAAGAUGUAUACUAUAAACCUUAAAGCAGUUAUUAAAAUAACAAAGUGAAGUCAACACAAGAUAAAAUGGAAUAGUUAAAAAAAAAAACUAAAGGCAGAAAAAGUAGAAAAGACAUGGAACAAUACAUAAUGUAAUAGCAUUAUGACAAACUGAAAUCUAACCAUAUUAAUAAUCAUGUAAAAUGUAAAUUGCCUAAACACUAAUUAAAAGGCAGAGAUGGUCAGAUUGGAUUAAAAAAAAAAAGACACAAAUCUAUGCUCCCUAUAAGAAAUACAUUUAAAUGAAUAUAGUGACACAAAUAGGUUAAAUGUAAAAAAGAUGGCACAUUUUUAUUAUGCUAACACUAGUCAAAAGAAAUCUUGGGCUUCUCUGGUGGCGCAGUGGUUGAGAAUCUCCCUGCCAAUGCAGGGGACACAGGUUCGAGCCCUGGUCUUGGAAUAUCCCACAUGCCACGGAGCAACUGGGUCCGUGAGCCACAAUUACUGAGCCUGCGCGUCUGGAGCCUGUGCUCUGCAACAAGAGAGGCCACAAUAGUGAGAGGCCCGCACACCCUGAUGAAGAGUGGCCCCCGCUUGCCACAACUAGAGAAAGCCCUCGCACAGAAACAAAGACCCAACACAGCCAAAAAUAAAUUUUUAAAAAUUAAAUAAUAAUAAUAAAAAUAGUGAAAAUAAACAAGUGAUGUAAUAAUGUAAAAAAAGAAAUCUUGACUAGCUAUAUUAAUAUCAAAGAAAAUUUUAUAACAAAGAACAUUACCAUUGAUGAAGGUCAUGUCAUAAUAAAAAGUGAUCAAUCAAGAGGACAUACCUAUCCCAAAUGUUUGUGGACCUAGUAACAGCUUUAAAACUCAUGGAAUAGAAACUGAUAGAACUGCAAGGAGAAAUGGAUAAAUCCACAAUUACUGUCUGAGAUUUGAAUACCCCCUCAUUAACUGACAGAAUCAAUAGAAAAAUGGGCAAGAAUGGAAUAGACUUAAGCAAAACUAUCAACCAAGUUGACCUGAUUAAUGUUUAUGGAACACUCCACACCCAAUAGUAGUAGAAUACACAUUCUCAUGAACACAUGCACAACGUGUCAGGAUAUGACAUAUUCUGGACCAUAUAAGUCUCAGUUUAAAAGUAUUCUAGUCAAAGUAUUAGUAUCUCUGAUAUUAAUAGAAUUAAAUUAGAAGUAAAUUACAAAAGGAUCCCUAGAAAAUCCUCAAAUAUUUGGAAACAACAUGUCUCUAAAUCACCCAAUAACUUAAAAAAGGGGGGUAGAUUAUAAAACAUUUUGAAAUGAAUGAAAAUGAAAACACAACAUACAAUAUGAUAUGCUGCUAAAGAAGUACUUAGGGAUGCUAAACAUGUUAAAAAACAAGAAAGGUUUCAAAUCAAUUACCUCAGCCUCCUGCCUAAGAGACUAGAAAAAGAAAAGCAAAUUAAAACCAAAAUAAGCAGAAUAAAGGAAAUAAAGACCAAAGCAGAUUCAAUAAAAUAUUUUAAAAAAGCUAGAAAAAAUGAAAUAAAAAAAUCAGUUCUUUGAGAAGAUCAAUAAAAUUGAUAGAUUUUUAGUAAAACUGAUCAGAGAAAAGAGAGAACACAAAUUACCAAUAUCAGGAAUGAGAGGUGAUGUAACUACAGAUUCUACUGGUAGUAAAAGGAUGAUAAGGGAAUAUUAACAACUUUAUGCCAAUAGAUUUGACAGCAUAGAUGAAAUGGACAAAUUCCUUAGAAGUCACAAAUUACCAAAGCUCAUUUAAGAAGAAAUAGAUAACCCAACAGCUCUAUAUUUAUUAAAUUGAUAUUGUAGUUUAAAACCUUAGAGAAAGGUUUCUUUCUUUAAGAAAACUCCAGGCCAGUUGGCUUCACUACUAUAUUUUACCAAACAUUCAGGACAAAAAUAAGACCAAUUCUACACAAACUCUUCCAGAGAACUGAAGAGGAUGGACUGUUUCCCAACUCAUUCUAUGAGGUGAGCAUUAUCCAAAUAUUAAAACUUGAAGAAGACAAUAAUAGAAAACUAAAGACCAAUAUAUUUAAUGAACAUAAUUACAAAAAUUCUAAACAAAAUUUUAGCAAAGCAAAUCCAACAUUAUGUAAAAAGAAUGAUGCAUCAUGACCAAAUGGCAUUUACCCCAAGAAUGCAGGGUUGGUUCAGCAUUUGAAAGCAAACAAUGAAAUUCACUAUAUUAACAACUGUAAAAGAAAAAUAAUAUGAUGAAUAGAUUGGAAGGAAGUUUACUCAACCUGAUUAAGGGCAUCUACAAAAAAGUACAAGUAACAUGAUAAUGGUGAAAAUCUGAAUGUUUUUCUGCUAAGAUUGGGAAUAAAAAAUGUCUCCUUUUACCAUGUCUAUUCAGUGUUGUACUGGAGGUUCUUAUUAAGGCAAGAAAAAGAAAUGAAAAUCACCAAGAUUGAGAAGAAGAUAUAUAACUUUUUAUUUGCAGAAAAUAUGAUCAUCUAUUCAGAAAGUCAAUGUAAUCUACAAAAAAAAAAAAUGCUGCUAGAAAUAAUGUUUACCAAACAUUAUAUAGGAUAUAUAUAUAUCCUAUAUAACAGGAUAUAACAUCAAUAUGCAAAAGUAGAUUACAUUUCUAUAUACUAGCAACAAAUGAAAUUGAAAGUUAAAAAUAUUAUUCACAAAUGCUUUUAAAAAUGUGAAGUACUUAGGGAUAAAUCUAACAAAAGAUACGAAAGACCUGUACACUGAAAACUAUAAAAAAAAUGGCUAAAAGAAAUUAAAGACCUAAAUAAAUGAAGAGAUAGAUGUACCAUGUUCAUGAUUCAGAAGACAGUUCUCCCCAAAGUAAGCUAUAGAUUAAUCCCAAUCAUAAUAUUAUGAUAUCAACACAAACCCAAUCAUAUCAACAGCCAAUUUUUUUGUAGAAACUGACUUUAAAAUUCAUAUGGAAAUGCAAAGGACCUAGAAUUGCCAAAAGCGACCUUGUAAAAGAAUAAAAUUGGAACACUCGCAUUACCUGAUUUCAAGAUUUGUAAAUAAAGCUACAGAAAUCAAGACAGUGUGGUAGUGGCCUAAAGAUAGACAAAUAGACCAAUAAAAUAGAAUAGAUAGUUUGUAAGUAGACUCACACUUAUGUGGAAAAUUGAAUUUUGACAAAGGUACAAAAGCAACUCAGUAGAGAAAGAAUAAUCUUCAAUAAAUUAUGCUGUAACAAUUGAACAUAUGCCAAAAAAAAACCCCACUUUCAAUUCAUACCUCAUGCUAUACAAAAAUUAGUUUAAAAUGCAUCAUAAACCUAAAUAUAAAACUUAGAACUCUAAACCUCCUAUAAGAAAACAGAAGAAACUGUGUGACCUUGGAUUACCCAAAGUUGUUUUAGAUAUGACACCAAAAACAAUCCAUAAAAUAACAAAUUGAUAAAUAGGAAUUUAUCAAAAUUAAGGUACUUCUGCUCUUCAAAAGACACUGUUAAUAUUUUCAUCAAGGGGGAAAAUACUAUUUAAUGGGGAAAGAAUAAUCAGAUGAUGCUAGGACAACUGAAUAUUGACAUGCAAAAGAAUUAAAUUUGACUACUACCUCACACCAUAUAAAAAAAUUACUCAGAAUGGAUCACCAACCUAAAUGUAAGAGCUAAAACUAUAAAACUUUUAGAAGAAAACAUAGGAGUGAAUCUUAAGGUAAUAGUUUCUUAGAUAUGGCACAAAAAUCACAUGACAAAGAAAAAAUAGAUAAUUUACAUCAAAAUUUUAAAAUUUUGUGCUUCAAAAAAUACCAUCAAAAAAGAAAAAGAAAAAAGGACAACCCACGACUAGGAGAAAAAUCUUUGCAAAUCACAUACUGAUUAAGGACUUGUAUCCAGAAUAUAUAAAUUACUCUAAGAACUCAACCUUAAAAAAAAACUCAAUAAAAAAGAGAAGGGAGAGCAAAGAUUUGAACACCUAAUUCAUCAAGAUAUACAGAUGGCAUAUAAGCACAUGAAAAGAUCUUUAUCAUCAACAGUCAUUAGGGAAAUGAAAAUUAAAACUUUAGUGAGAUACCACCAUACACAUAUCAGAAUGAUUAAAAUUAAAAACACUAUGUCAAGUAUUGGUAACAUCUGGAGAGACUGGAACUCUCAUAUGCUUCUGAUGGCAAUGUAAACUGAUAAAAACCAUUUAGAAAACAGUUUUAUGAUUUAUAUGAAACUCUAGUAAAAGAAAACUACCAUAUUGUGGCAGAAAGCAGAUAGUAAUUGCUUGGGGAUGAGAUCAGAGAAGAAUGGAUGGAAGGGAUUAAAAAGAGAAUUUUGGGGGAUGAUGAAUAUGUUUACUAUUUGAUUUUGGUGACCUUGUCAUGACUGUAUAUGUAUUAUACUUCAAAACUGGUUAAAUUAUACAAUUUAAGUAUGUGCAGUUUACUGUAUGCCAAUUAUACCUCAAAGCUGUUUAUUAAAAAUAAAAUUAGUUG